GCGUGCGGCAUACUGACCGUCACAACAGUGUAGCUUUUAUUUGGCACAGUUGUUACUGGAUUCGUGGCCGCUUACUCUAUGGUCUGAAAACCAGCGCUUGGUAAAGAACGCUAACUACCAGCGAACCUGGAUACGAAGCACCCUCUAGGCCAUGUAAUAAAUGCAAUAAAUCUUCCACACAAAGCCACAUGAAGCCGUAUGCGAUGGUUCUGCCUUCAACUGCCUUGUUUGGGUCUUCGUUUGGCAGCAUGUUCCUCAAGACAAUUGGGAGCAGCAAUGCUAGCCUUUUGCUGAUAUUGGUGUUUGCCUUUGUGAUCACGUAUUCGAUCGGUUACCUGUUCAUGCGGCGACCGGAGAUGUGCGGCUCCGAGCGGGCGUCGUGCUCAGCCGGCGGUGAGCAGCGUGCCAAGGGAACCAGCGGCAGCGCGGACGGCGUGAAGAGCACCGCCGGUGGCCGGAAAGACGAGACCACGCCGCUACUCGAGGGCUCCGGAGACGACGAUGACGAAGAAGACGAGGCGGAAGAAGAACCCUCGUCUUCGGAGUCGGCAGCCAACGAGAAAGAAGCCAACUGAAAUUCUUCUUCCAGCUGGAUCUUCGUGCUGCACUUUGCAAGGUCUCUCGGAGACGCAAUCCGCGCUUCUCCAAAGAGGCUCCAUCGUCGGGCUGCAUUCAGCGCCGCCGGAGGCCAAGCUCUCCAUCUGUUCGCAACCGUCAGCAGGGCUUCUUGCGUGGCAUGACGUCAUCCUUCACCGAAAGCCACCCUGAGUAAUCCGCAUGAAAUAUUAAGUAAACAUUACCGACAGCAAUAACACAACACUGGAGUAGCCGUAUACCCGUCAACUUGAUUAAACGUUUUCUCUUUAUUUUUUGAACAUCCAUACCUAAAUGUCUGGUCACUGGUAUUUGCAUCGCUAGCCAUCUCAGUCGUCUAAGUUCCAGGAGAUUUAAUUCCCAUGUUUUGCCUGCUGCCUAUGUAUUCUAUUGUUUUUGUGAAAUGAUCGACCCCCCAUCAUUUAUUACAUUAUCCUUUAUAAUCCCCAUGAGCUCCCUACUUUUCUGAUAGCUUAUACUUUGCCUGAAGGUGCCAAGGUUUGAUACGGAAGCCGGGAAUCAACACAAUAAUAUUUCAUGUUCAAUUUCUACUUCCUUUGCGUGUUUCCUCCCACUACUCCCAGG